AGCAGGCCAGUGCUGUGCACAGUGAACAUCCUUCAAGGCUCAAUGAAAUCCGCGGAGCUUUUCUCAACCCUAACCCUAGCAAUCAGAAGACUGCCGAGUCUCCGCUCCAAUGUGAAUAAAUACAACUGCGUUGCCCCAACCAAUUCCCUAGGUUUUGUUCUGCUAAUGCCGUUCCUCACUAGCUCUGAUGAAGAUUUUUCAGAUGACGAGUCUGAUCGAAAAUCCAUUCGUUUACAAUCGUGACGACAAAUCGAGGCAUUUGUCUGAGAGAAACUCCUUUUUUGUUUAUUAUUCUAUUUUUCUUCAUUUUCUCCUCAACAUUUUUAAUAUCUUCCCCCCAAUACCGAAGUAUUGUUCUGCUUUAGUUAAGCAGCACUAUUUGAAGUCAGGAAUGAUAAUUGCAAUAUUUUGUUCUGAAUAUUCAAGUGAUUGAACGAAUGAAUGAAUUCCUGCUCAUCCUCAA